AGAAGAGCCAUCAUUUCCAAUGAAAUUAGAGCAACAAUCAUACACCAUGUUCUUGUUCAUGGAAUGAGUAUGAGGGACUACGUGUUCAACCAAAUAUAAGCAGGUUCUCUGUGGCCUCCAUUGUCAGGACAUUCAGAGAAGAGAACAGAAUUGAAAGACUGCCACAUGCCGGUGGAAGGAGGGGUAUGUUCUCACAACAGCAGGAGACCAUUAUUGUCAAUAUGGUCCUUCAAAAUAAUCUCAUUCGUCUGCGUGAAAUACAACAGCGAGUUGAGGAAGACAACGUGAACUUUGAAGGAAUCAACAGUGUGAGUCUCUCCACAAUUGACCGUGUCCUGAAACGCAACCUGAUAAGUCUCAAACAAGCCUACAGAGUACCAUUUGAGAGAAAUUCUGAAAGGGUAAAAGAGCUACGAUAUCAAUAUGUACAAAGAAUGUUUCAACUGGAUUCCAUGGAGAGGCCUCAUGAGUGCAUCUUUUUGGAUGAAGCUGGCUUCAAUCUCACCAAGAGGAGAAGGAG